UACGAAGGGUGCAAGCGUUACUCGGAAUUACUGGGCGUAAAGCGUGCGUAGGUGGUUUGUUAAGUCUGAUGUGAAAGCCCUGGGCUCAACCUGGGAAUUGCAUUGGAUACUGGCAGGCUAGAGUGCGGUAGAGGAUGGCGGAAUUCCCGGUGUAGCAGUGAAAUGCGUAGAGAUCGGGAGGAACACCAGUGGCGAAGGCGGCUACCUGGACCAGCACUGACACUGAGGCACGAAAGCGUGGGGAGCAAACAGG
rnacentral:rRNA from 1 species